UUUGAUGGCGACCGGCGCACGGGUGAGUAACACGUAUCCAACCUGCCGAUGACUCGGGGAUAGCCUUUCGAAAGAAAGAUUAAUACCCGAUGGCAUAAUUCCUCCGCAUGGUAGAACUAUUAAAGAAUUUCGGUCAUCGAUGGGGAUGCGUUCCAUUAGGUUGUUGGCGGGGUAACGGCCCACCAAGCCUUCGAUGGAUAGGGGUUCUGAGAGGAAGGUCCCCCACAUUGGAACUGAGACACGGUCCAA
rnacentral:rRNA from 1 species